CUACCAUGCAGUCGACGAUGACCACUUCGGUGGGGAUUAGUGGCGAACGGGUGAGUAACACGUGGGCAAUCUCCNNUUCANUCUGGGACAAGCCCUGGAAACGGGGUCUAAUACCGGAUAACACUUCCACUCGCAUGGGUGGAGGUUAAAAGCUCCGGCGGUGAAGGAUGAGCCCGCGGCCUAUCAGCUUGUUGGUGAGGUAAUGGCUCACCAAGGCGACGACGGGUAGCCGGCCUGAGAGGGCGACCGGCCACACUGGGACUGAGACACGGCCCAGACUCCUACGGGAGGCAGCAGUGGGGAAUAUUGCACAAUGGGCGAAAGCCUGAUGCAGCGACGCCGCGUGAGGGAUGACGGCCUUCGGGUUGUAAACCUCUUUCAGCAGGGAAGAAGCGAAAGUGACGGUACCUGCAGAAGAAGCGCCGGCUAACUACGUGCCAGCAGCCGCGGUAAUACGUAGGGCGCAAGCGUUGUCCGGAAUUAUUGGGCGUAAAGAGCUCGUAGGCGGUCUGUCGCGUCGGAUGUGAAAGCCCGGGGCUUAACCCCGGGUCUGCAUUCGAUACGGGCAGACUAGAGUGUGGUAGGGGANAUCGGAAUUCCUGGUGUAGCGG
rnacentral:rRNA from 1 species